rnacentral:lncRNA from 1 species
CUGACCUCAUGAUCUGCCCACCUCAGCCUCCCAAAGUGCUGGGAUUACAGGCAUGAGCCACCACACCCAGCAAUUUUUACUAUUAUCUUUUGAGACAAGGUCUCACUCUGUUGCCCAACCUGGAGUGCAGCGGUGGGAUCUUGGCUUACUGCAUCCUCCAUCUCCUGGGCUCAAGGGAUCCUCCCACCUCAGCCUCCUGAGUAGCUGGGACUGCAGACAUGCACCACCACACCUGGCUAAUUUUUUUGAGAGAUGGGGUUUCGCCAUGUUGCCUAGGUUGGUCUCGAAUUCCUGGGCUCAAGUGAUCCUCCUGCCUCAGCCUCCCAAAGUGUUGGGAUUACAGGCAUAAGCCACUGCACCUGGCCUUAAAAUUUUUUUAUCUGUAGAAACGGGGUCUCACUAUAUUGCCCAGGAUGGUCUCAAACUCCUGAUCCCCCCACCCCCACCCAACCCAGCCUUGGCCUCCCACAGUGCUGGGAUUGCAGGCAUGGGAUUACAGGUGUGAGCCACGCUGGGACUGCAGGCAUGAGCCAUGCUGGGAUUGCAGGCGUGAGCCACGCUGGGAUUGCAGGCGUGAGCCACGCUGGGAUUGCAGGCGUGAGCCACGCUGGGAUUGCAGGUGUGAGCCACGCUGGGAUUGCAGGCUUGAGCCACGCUGGGAUUGGAGACGUGGGCCACGCUGGGAUUGGAGACGUGGGCCACGCUGGGAUUGGAGACGUGGGCCACGCUGGGACUGGAGACGUGGGCCACGCUGGGAUUGCAGGCUUGAGCCACGCUGGGACUGGAGAUGUGGGCCACGCUGGGACUGCAGGCGUGGGCCACGCUGGGACUGCAGGCGUGGGCCACGCUGGGACUGCAGGCGUGAGCCACGCUGGGAUUGCAGGCGUGGGCCACGCUGGGAUUGCAGGCUUGAGCCACGCUGGGAUUGCAGGCUUGAGCCACGCUGGGAUUGCAGGCUUGAGCCACGCUGGGAUUGCAGGCGUGAGCCACGCUGGGAUUGCAGGCGUGGGCCACGCUGGGAUUGCAGGCUUGAGCCACGCUGGGAUUGGAGACGUGGGCCAUGCUGGGAUUGCAGGAGCCAUGCUGGGAUUGCAGGCGUGGGCCACGCUGGGAUUGCAGGCUUGGGCCACGCUGGGACUGGAGACGUGGACCAUGCUGGGAUUGCAGGCGUGAGCCACGCUGGGACUGCAGGCUUGGGCCACUGCACCUACUGCAUUUGUUUUGCAUGUUACGCCCCUGCCUGGGGCAGCAUCUGGGCCACAGCACCUUUUCAGUGAACAACGAUGGUUAUGAGUGGGUGUGAUCUUGCCUGCCUGUUGAGCACCACUGGCCAGUCACUGUCUCGCAGAGGAAGCGGUGGGAGCUUGACAAGAAGAACGCCUGUGGCAGAGCCAGGGCCUGGACUCAAAACUCGGCAACUUGGCUGCCAUCCUCAUUCCCGGUGAGUGGAACGGUGAGCAAAGGUCCAUGAUGACACCCUGGCCGCCCAGCCUGUUACCCUCCUCAGGAGGAUGUGUGGCAGGAGUGAAGGGUCCACCCCUGCGGUCUUCACACUCCAGUGGCCCAGACUGGAGGACAGUCUUCCCAAAUCCCGUAUUAUGGGAGCAGCUGCUUCUUUCUCUUGGUGAUACAUUAACAUGAGAUUUCAACACAUGGAAGGAUCUUGAAGACGAUGCGUGCUGUGCAAAGCUUGUAUUCCCAUCUCUCUCUUUAAGCGAACAAGCUUUCUGAGCUUCUAUAUCCAUGAAGAUGAAAAACAGGAAAAAAAACUGACAACCUGUCUCAUUUCCGCCCUAAGUAAUAUCUUCCCAUGAUGACAUUAACUAUUUGCAAAUAAGCCCCAUACGGAUAAUAAUGCAUUUCUGGCCAGGUGUGGUGGCUCACGCCUAUAAUCCCAGCACUUUGGGAGGCUGAGGUGGGCAGAUCACUUGAGGUCAGGAGUUCAAGACCAGCCUGGCCAACAUGAUGAAACCACGUCUCGACUAAAAAUACAAAAAUUAGCCAGGCAUGGUGGCAUAUGCCUGUAAUCCCAGCUACUCAGGAGGCUGAGGCAGGGGAAUCGCUUGAAUCCAGGAGGCGGAGGUUGCAGUGAGCCAAGAUUGCACCACUGCCCUCCAGCCUGGGCGACAGAAUGAAACUCCAUCUCAAAAAAAAAAAAGCAUUUCUAGCUCAAUUUUAUUUUUGUUUAUUAUGAAAAUUGGAAAUGUAUGCGUAUCAUUUUGAUUGGGUAUUUAUAAUAAUCGUAAGAAUAACAAUCGGCCAGAUUGUUCCCAUGUUAAGCCUCAGUGCUUGUAUUUUGUCAGGGUGCGCUGAGACUGGUGUUUGGUAGGGACAGGCCAGACCAUGCCACAGUAAUAGACGUCAACAACAGCCCAGGUUGUUUGGCCCCACACACUGCUCACAGGGAGACUGGGGGCUCUGUCCCGCCAUCCUCAGCCUGACACGUGGCGGCCCUCGCCCCCGGUGUCCGGUGGGGAGUGGGGGGUGAGCUGCCCUCUGCCUUCAGAGCCUUCGCAUCAGCGAUGUCACUGGCUUUACACACCUGUGGUGGUGAGGGAGGUGGGGGUGAAAUCCCGUUCUGUGCCCAGGAGAGGAACAGAAAAUAUUUGUGAUGCCCACACCUUUCAAACCUAACACAUUUUGCAUUAGGAUACAAAUAUGGGGGGGAGUGGAAUAGAAAUAUGAGUUCAAGGAAAAGAAGAAAUAAACUUUCUAGCUGUGAAAGAACAGCUUGCUGGUGUCCUCUAAGUGGAUGAUGGUAUCAAACUGUAAUGGCAUUUUUUGUUGCACUGGAUACACUGAAAAGGAAAAUGGCAAGAUUUGGGCCGGGCGUGGUGGCUCAUGCCUGUAACCCCAGCACUUUGGGAGGCCGAGGCAGGUGGAUCACCAGGUCAGGAGAUGGAGACCAUCCUGGCUAACACGGUGAAACCCCG